rnacentral:rRNA from 1 species
UUGGAGGGCAAGUCUGGUGCCAGCAGCCGCGGUAAUUCCAGCUCCAAUAGCGUAUAUUAAAGUUGUUGCAGUUAAAAAGCUCGUAGUUGAAUUUUGGAUUCUUCCAAUUGGUCCAUCUUUUAGAUGAGUACUGGUUGUGUGGGGUCUAUCCGCCUGGUGAUACGUAAUGUCCUUUAUUGGAUGUUGCGGGUAGUCAGGACCUUUACCUUGAAAAAAUUAGAGUGUUUAAAGCAGGCUUAUGCCGGAAUACAUUAGCAUGGAAUAAUAGAAUAGGACGAAGUUGUUUUAUUUUGUUGGUUUCUAGGACAACCGUAAUGAUUAAUAGGGAUAGUUGGGGGCAUUAGUAUUCAAUUGUCAGAGGUGAAAUUCUUGGAUUUAUUGAAGACUAACUACUGCGAAAGCAUUUGCCAAGGAUGUUUUCAUUAAUCAAGAACGAAAGUUAGGGGAUCGAAGACGAUCAGAUACCGCCGUAGUCUUAACCAUAAACUAUGCCGACUAGGGAUCGGGCGAUGUUGUUUCCAUGACUCGCUCGGCACCCUAUGGGAAACCAAAG